UUUCUCCUUCUCAGCUCUCUAUGCAACUAGGAGAUGUUUGUCUGCGAACCAGGAAGACAGCCCUCACCCAAACUCAACGAUGCAGGCACCCUGAUCUUGAAAUUCCUGCCUUCAGGAGAAUGCAUAUUUUGCUGUUUAAGUCACCCAGUCUAUAGUAUUUUGUUACAGUAACCUGAGCCAAGACACUGUAACUUUCUGGGUGCUACUUUUAGAGGUCAGCGAACAACCUCAGUGGGAAACAGGAUUCCUUCUUCUUCCAAGGCAUCUUUGAUUCCUGUUUACUUCGAACUUUAUUUGGAUUGUGCACACCCACCAUGGUGCCUAUUUUUCUGUGCUCCUGGACAAUCCUCAUGAAAUUGCACACUUUGGAGGUCCCUCUGUCUCCUUGCUCACCUGAGUCGUUAAAGCUUGGAAACUUCUGACACAAAAAGGAAGAGAAAAUACCAGAAGGACAUCAGGAGACUCUAAACGUCCAAACACAUACAUGUACUCAGCAGAUUACUACGAAUAUUCCUAAUGAAACAGGCUGCCAAGAAAUGAAAACAGGACAAACCUAAAAUAGAGACUCUGAAAGCACAAGUGGACACACAAUUUCAUGGAAAACCUUUUAAGUUCAAUUCCUGACUCGGAAAAAGAAACAAACCCCUCAUGCAGAAACCUUGUUCUGUGACAGGAAGCACUUGGUGCAUGUUUAUGUAACACUGGAAUCUUCUAAGCACAUGAGGACAUGCACGUCGGCGUGUUGGGUUCCGCUGUAUCAUCUGAACAGCCUGCAACAUCCACUUGCAAAUAAGAAGAAAGCUCAGCCUUCAUUCCCAGGGGUUUCCUGAGGUCACGCAGGCAGCGUCUCCCACAGCCAUUGGUGAGACGAGAAGUCAGACGCUCUCAGCGGACCCGUGGCAAAGAAACCUAUUUAUCCUGUUAGCCAGCACGACUGCACACAUUUGACGAUACGGUGUUACCUUCUAAAACCCCUGUUACGUCCUCUAAACCAGAGUCCCAGGGUACAUAUAGUGGGACUUGCUGUGUCACUUACCAAAAACCAUCCAUCCGGCUUUGCGCACUUAAGAUCCUAACAUGAUGUUAAAGGUCUCAUUGAGCAGGAAGCACAGAGUCCUGAAUUCUUUUUUCUUCUUCAUUUUUAAAGGAAAGCAUUAAAUGUUUGAGGUUUAUUUUGA